CUAACUGUGUACCUACAGAGGAGAUCUGCCUGCUGCAUCCAGAGGAGAGGAGGUUUGGAGCUUGGGUACGGCUUCUCUAUGAUUCUGCGUUUGGUGAUCAGAAACUUGGUGUUUCCAAGCUGUUCAACUGAGGAAUAGGCCUUAGACCAGGUGAACAAGCACAUCCAUGUUGCUAUGACUGCUGGUAAGAGCUACUUUGCGACUACCUAGAAGAACAAGAGUCCUGACACAUUCUGGGAGUGAGAAGGGCUGACAUGUAAAGGAUGAGCAGUAGUUAGCUUGAUGAAAGGGAACUUCACGGUUUGUGUGUGUGUGUGUAGGUGCAGAAUACUGAGUGUGGUAGCACCAUCUACAAAGGCCCCAUGACAAGAGAGGAGGCUAGAGGACAGGAAUGGGCAAUGAGAAGGGAAGAGGGGAGUGAGUGAGUGAGUGAGUGAGAAAACGAAGGAGGCAGCAUGGUCAGACUGCAUGGCUUUUGGAAACACCAGUCUAUUCUAAAAGCAGUCUGGGCUUCUAGAUGCAGACAGGUGUCUCACAGGACAGAUCAGCUUCUCUGAGCAAGGGUGGUCGGACUGGAUGAGUACACUGGGCCCGCUUCCGUCCAUGGUAUCUGGGUCCAGGGAACUUAUGCCCACUGCAAGAGAGGCUGACAAGGCUCCAUAUGGGUUCUACCACUCUCUGGGGUUUCUACUUUCUGGGGGUACAGAAAAUAGAAACAUGACUCAGAGUUCCUGCCUCAUGGAGUCUGGGAGCUUUCCUCCUCAUGGAUCUGGGAGCUUCCAGGAACACAUCAAGGAAGAAGGAGGUGAGGACAGAGUUGGUUGAGGGAGAGAGUAGCAAGACAGCUGUUGUAGAGCAGAGUUUACCGGGUUCCCCGUUCUCAGUUCCAAAGCUAGGGUCUUUGUUAUAUAGUAGAGGGUUUCCAUUGCACCCCACUAACAGUGCAAAUCUUGGGGACAGAGGACCAACUAGUGCUCAGGCCUCCCACUGGAACACUCUUGGCCUUCCUAGAGCUCACUACUAUACAACACAGGUGUCACGUCUCAACACCCACCCAGCUUACCUGCAGAUCCCAGAAGAGCCAAGAGGUUCCGAGGGCACCCUUAAUGAGACAAGGCAUCUGAUGACACCUUCCAUUACACCAGGCACCAGGACAGAAAGCAAGCUGUUCUGCGGCACCAGAACAUAUGAAAAGGAAGCGCAGUUUUCCACACACAGUCGCUUCCCGUCUCAGACCCCAUGACUGCAGAGUUCCAGAAAGUAAACACUGUAGAUCCAAGCAGAGUGCCAGAUGGUGGGCUGAAGUAGAACCAGCGCACAGAGACUGGAACACACAGGGCUGGGAGCUCCUUGCUCUCUUCGUCUGCUUCCACCUAUUCAGAUGUCUCCAGGGUUCAGGAAUAGAAGGAGAAAUUCAGAAUGCUUUUCAGUUUGGGGCUACUACCGUGACUGAUAUGUCCAGAAAGUUUCACUGAAGAGACAUCAGGCAUCUAAGGAUCGCUUGACACAGUGGAAUACCAGGCACACAGUGGGAAGCUUCUCCCAGUGGGUUGCUAACAGAUGAAGAGCAGAAACAGGAAUGGGUCCUUCCUCUUAAGGUUCCUGCCACCUUAGACUGGAGACCAAGCCUGCAGGACGUGAAGCUUGGGAAGUCAGAUCACGCUCCAAGAAUGGAGUCGUAUGAGGAGGAUUCUGAGUGCUUGGGAGAAAACUCCAAGAAACCAGGACGAGAGAUUUGUGAUUUCAGUUUCUUCAAAGUCACAAAAUUUUUCUUGGAUUAUGCUUUUGUGCCCCUCCCAGAUGUAGCAAUUGACUUCAGAUUAUUCAUCAUAACUGGCUAUUAUUUGUUUAUACACCUCUAUGGAAAAUCCAUGUGUGGCUUUGGCCUGGUGACUGUACACUUUACUCACUUGGCUCUGAGUAACCCUCAAAGUAUAAAUUGUCUGAUGCUCUGAACAAAGCUGUGGUGGUGGUAGCACUUGUCUUUAAUCCCUGCACUCCAGAGA
rnacentral:lncRNA from 1 species